GACGGAGGAUGCACGCGUUAUCCGGCAUUAUUGGGCGUAAAGCGUCCGUAGGCGGUUUCAAAAGUCUGUUGUUAAAGCCCACAGCUCAACUGUGGCUCGGCAAUGGAAACUGUGAGACUAGAGAGUGGUAGGGGUAGAGGGAAUUCCUAGUGUAGCGGUGAAAUGCGUAGAGAUCGGAAGGAACGUCAAUGGCGAAGGCAGCCACCUGGCAUAAUACUGACGCUGAGGCGCGAAAGCGUGGGGAGCAAACAGG
rnacentral:rRNA from 1 species